rnacentral:rRNA from 1 species
UGGGGAAUAUUGGACAAUGGGCGCAAGCCUGAUCCAGCCAUGCCGCGUGAGUGAUGAAGGCCCUAGGGUUGUAAAGCUCUUUCACCGGUGAAGAUAAUGACGGUAACCGGAGAAGAAGCCCCGGCUAACUUCGUGCCAGCAGCCGCGGUAAUACGAAGGGGGCUAGCGUUGUUCGGAUUUACUGGGCGUAAAGCGCACGUAGGCGGACUUUUAAGUCAGGGGUGAAAUCCCGGGGCUCAACCCCGGAACUGCCUUUGAUACUGGAAGUCUUGAGUAUGGUAGAGGUGAGUGGAAUUCCGAGUGUAGAAGUGAAAUUCGUAGAUAUUCGGAGGAACACCAGUGGCGAAGGCGGCUCACUGGACCAUUACUGACGAUGAGGUGCGAAAGCGUGGGGAGCAAACAGG